rnacentral:rRNA from 1 species
GAGGAUAACAACCGGAAGGUUACUAAGACUAUAACAAUCCCAAAGGGAUCUUCUUUGUUUNAAAGACCUUCUUACGAAGGUAUGCUUAAAGAGGGGCUUGCGCCACAUUAGUUAGUUGGUAGAGUAAAAGCCUACCAAGACGAUGAUGUGUAGCUGGACUGAGAGGUUGAACAGCCACAUUGGGACUGAGACACGGCCCAAACUCCUACGGGAGGCAGCAGUAGGGAAUUUUCGGCAAUGGAGGAAACUCUGACCGAGCAACGCCGCGUGAACGAUGAAGUAUUUCGGUAUGUAAAGUUCUUUUAUUGAAGAAGAAAAAGUAGUGGAAAAACUAUAUUAGCGUUACUCACUGAAUAAGCCCCGGCUAACUAUGUGCCAGCAGCCGCGGUAAGACAUAGGGGGCGAGCGUUAUCCGGAAUUAUUGGGCGUAAAGGGUGCGUAGGCUGUUAGAUAAGUCUAUAAUUUAAUUUCAGUGCUUAACACUGUCUUGUUAUAGAAACUGUCUUGACUAGAGUGAGAUAGAGGCAAGCGGAAUUCCAUGUGUAGCGGUAAAAUGUGUAAAUAUAUGGAGGAACACCAGAAGCGUAGGCGGCUUGCUGGGUCUUUACUGACGCUGAGGCACGAAAGCGUGGCUAGCAAACAGGAUUAGAUACCCUGGUAGUCCACGCCGUAAACGAUGAGUACUAAGUGUCGGGGUAAAACUCGGUACUGAAGUUAACACAUUAAGUACUCCGCCUGAGUAGUACGUACGCAAGUAUAAAACUUAAAGGAAUUGACGGGACUCCGCACAAGCGGUGGAUCAUGUUGUUUAAUUCGAAGAUACACGCAAAAUCUUACCAGGUCUUGACAUACUCUGCAAAGCUAUAGAAAUAUAGUGGAGGUUAUCAGGGAUACAGGUGGUGCAUGGUUGUCGUCAGUUCGAAUCGUGAGAUGUUAGGUUAAGUCCUAAAACGAACGCAACCCUUGUCGUUAAUUGCCAGCACAUAAUGGUGGGGACUUUAACGAGACUGCCAAUUAAACAUUGGAGGAAGGUGAGGAUUACGUCAAAUCAUCAUGCCCCUUAUGAUCUGGGUAACUAACGUGAUACAAUGGCUGUGACAAAGAGUAGCUGAAACGCGAGUUUUUAGCCAAUCUCAAAAAAGCAGUCUCAGUUCGGAUUGAAGUCUGUAACUAGACUUCAUGAAGUUCCAGAUCGCUAGUAAUCGCGAAUCAGCAUGUCGCGGUGAAUACGUUCUCGGGGUUUGUACACACCGCCCGUCAAACCACGAAA